rnacentral:tRNA from 1 species
GGAGACGUGGCCGAGUGGCUGAAGGCACUCCCUUGCUAAGGGAGCAUACGUUAACCGCGUAUCGAGGGUUCGAAUCCCUCCGUCUCCGCCA